rnacentral:tRNA from 1 species
AGAAUUGUAAUUUAAUAUUAAAAUAUUAUUUUGUCAAAAUAAAAAUCUAUAAGUAGUUAUUCUG